ACGCGAAACCCCCUUCGGGGGGCAAGUAGAGUGGCGCACGGGUGAGUAACACGUAGGUAAUCUACCUUUGGAUGGGGAAUAACAACCGGAGACGGUUGCUAAUACCGCAUAAUGCAGCGGCACCUAAUGGUGACAGUUGUUAAAGCGGGGGAUCGUAAGACCUCGCGUCUGAAGAGGAGCCUGCGGCGGAUUAGCUAGUUGGUAAGGUAACGGCUUACCAAGGCUUUGAUCCGUAGCCGGCCUGAGAGGGCGGUCGGCCACACUGACACUGACAUACGGGUCAGACUCCUACGGGAGGCAGCAGUCGGGAAUUUUGGGCAAUGGGCGAAAGCCUGACCCAGCAACGCCGCGUGAAGGAUGAAAUCCCUCGGGAUGUAAACUUCGCAAGAACAGGAAGAAUAAGUAAGGGUUAAUAUCUCUUACGAUGACGGUACUGUUUGUAAGCUCCGGCUAACUCCGUGCCAGCAGCCGCGGUAAUACGGGGGGAGCAAGCGUUG
rnacentral:rRNA from 1 species